UGCUACCAAAGCGUCCACUAUCACUUUUGGGAACCUCAGUUUGCAGGCCCUAGCAACCGUUUCUAUGGACGCCUUUUCAGCAGGCAUCCUGUUCUGAACUCUUUUGUUGGACCGGCUCUUCCCGGGGGCGUGGCAGGGCUGGAGUGAGAGCGCGAGCCAGUGAGCGCUGGAGGGCGAACGCGGCGCGCUGCAGUGACGGUCAGACGCCGGCCGGCCUUGGCGAAUCGCUGCCCAAGUAGAGGAGUCCGGCUGGCCCGGACUCAAGCAGCCGCCGCUCUCUUGGUUCGCAGGUCUGGUUGCAAGAACAAGAGCAGUGCUUGGCAGUCCCAACUCUUUCAAUCAUCAUGGUACUAUGCUGUCAACAAAUGUAGCCUUUCUGUGGUUUAGUUUCCUCAUCUGUGAAAUGGAGAUUAAACCAAAUAACACACGCAAAAUGUUUAGAGCAGUGUGUGACAUAUGGUCCAUGAAUGUUACAAUUGUAAAACUCCCAGAAUCUUGCAUUGGGAAAGGACCCCAAAAAUUGUCUAUUUCAUUUAGCCUGCCUUCAUCACACCAUCCUCUGUCUGAUGCCAGAGUUCUGGAACCCAAAAGAGCUAUCAGUGAUUGCUGGCUAAUUCAUUGUCACUGUUGAGGAAGCCAAAUGGCUGCUAAGGAGUCUGUCACUACCCCAAUAGAGAUGCACGGAGAAAGGAAAGAAAAUAGAAGGGAAAAAAGGAAUGUGACAUUUCAGUAUCCUAAUGCUUUCCAAGACUGAACUCUGGAUGGUUAACUGUGACCUUCUAUUGGGCAUGAGAGAUAAAUAGCUUGCCCUUGUGACCCUAGAGACCUAGGGUUCAAAGUGACUGCCAAGGUCAUUUAGUCAUCCAACAAAUACUUUGAACACAUACUACAUGCCAGGCACGUGAUAUAAACAAAGUAACAGUCACUGUCCUUCAGUGAAGAGCUUCCAGUCUAGUGAAGGAAAGAGCUUUUGUUCAGAAAUGUGCAAUUAUUUCAUUACUUGUCCAGAGUGCUGAGAUAAAGACUAAAGUAUUAGCCCGAAUGACUUUUAUGCCAUUUAAGGUGGUGGCCUGUAGAAGUUAGCUAGGUAAAGGGUAGGGAAUAGGGAAGGACCAACAAAUAUAAUUUGUGAAGACUCAAGGCUUCAGGGAGCAAAGUUGAAAAUACUUCAUGGACUGUUUAGCUUCACAUAAGACAAGUGUUCCUCAGGUCAGCUGUCUUGCAAGUGACUUCUUUUGUUCAUAAAAAUGCCAGACUGUAAAGAACCCAGCAUAGAUAUAUGAACCCUACUCAACCUGUUCAUGGACCCAGAGCACUAGUGUGUGACAGACAACACAUUGUCACAGUGGAAGGCAGGCUGAGAAGUUUGAUGUAACCUUCUGUCUUUAUAUUUGUUUCUUGGGUAGGGCAUUGGGAGGUCUCCAAUUUGGUGUUUGUCCAAACUUUAGGACUGGCCUCUCUGUUUCAACAUUUUUUAAUAAAUGGAUUUUGCCAAGUCAAGGGAAAGAACACUUACACUGAGACAAGUGCUCUCAAAAGGAAUGCAUUAAAUCCUUACAAUACAAUUAGGAGGUAAAUUGCAAAUGGGGAAACUGAGGCACAGAGCACUGAUGUAAUUUUCUCAAGGUCUCAGUGCUAGGAAGUAGGGGAGCUAGAAUUCCAACCCCGUUUGAUUCUUCUUAAAUCAAGCUGUUUCUGAAGUUCAACAUGCCCCUUCUUCGACAACCGUGAUGUUCCUACCAAGCAGCAGUCACCAGAAAGUCCUGCCUGUCAUUUCUUCAUCUCUGGGCCUAACUAUGUCUAGCUAGGGCUGCCAUCAUCACCCACAACACACUCGUGAUGGGCCAGCUGGUAGAGGCCUUGGCACCUAAAUUCUAACCAGCCAAAGGCCUUGACCCGGCACAGAAGUGUAAUGUGAAGGGGAAGCUGCUGGGAGAAGGGCUUGCAGGGGUCCCAUGAGAACCACUUGGAGCACAGCACGCCACUUUUCCUCAUGGUGUGAAGGGAAUGGUGUCCCAGAGGCCUGGGUCCGGCUCUUCUCUGGAGACAUAGCUAGCUUUCAGAAACCUUUCCCCUCCUUGAGAUCCUUGGUGUUUCCUACACCUGGCUCAUUUGGCUCUGAGCCCAGGCUGUGUGCAACAAUGAGAAUGAGAUACCAACUCUUGAAAAUUAGCACAGUUGUUUCUGGGGAGGUAUUUGUGCUUCUGUUAUGAAAGAGGGUAGAGGGUAUGAGAAAAAUAAGUACAAUGUCCAAUCUUUCUAUACCCCGUCUCUUCUCUAAAAUGAACUGGGCUUUACUCUGCAAAGCCACUUCUCCAGGACACACACAAAAAAAGUUUAGGGGGCCCAGAUCAAAGAUUAUAAAACUGGGCCCAAGCCUUUUUCCCCAUCAUUAUAUUCCUUACUGGAUGGGCCUCUAGUGGAAGGAGCAAUCAGCAUGGGGUUUUUCCCUAUGUCUAUUACUCAAAAAUGACUAGCAAACUUUCUGUUUAAUGUAUGUGUGAGGAGAAGUUUUAAGAUUAGAGACACCUAUUGCUAAUUAUGUUGAAUGAAGAAAAAUCAUUUUGUUUUGAAGGGCAAUCUGUGAAGAAAGUGCUAAGGAAGCCUUCACUUUGGCAAAAGGGGAUGGAGGUGGAAUGAGAUCUAGGGCCUAGAGAAUCCAGAGGCCCCUGAAGAACAAUUAGUUUAGCCUUUUGUCCCCCUUUCAGAUCCCCUGGCUUUCCCUCACCUAUUUAUGCUACUCCUGAAGGACAUUUUACAACUCUGCCAUGGCACCAUGAAUUGCAAUCACAACGAUAACUACAGCUGCAACGAUGGCCCCAUUAUUGAUGUGAUUCAGAUCCAUGGACCAGCAGCAUCAGCGUCACCUGGAGCUUGUUUUGUACUUGCUGCUGCCCAAGACCUUCCUCUCCCCCACCAGCUUCUCCCUCGCCAGACCCUCCAUGACCGGGACCAGUGUGCAACGGCUCCUCGGCAACAGCGAGGCCCCGGAAGGGAGUAGACCGACAGGUCAUACUUUCAGGGGCCCUAGAGCCCCCAACUAUGGGGAACAAUAAAAGUAGAAACACUAAUAGGUACUAAGUAUUGAGUGUUUAUGGGUUUUAGUUUUGAGACAGGGUCUUGCUAUAUAGUCUAGGCUGGCCUAGAACCCAGAAUCCUAUCUCAGUCAGCCAUGCCUAGCUCUUGAAAGUUUAUGUUUUAAACAAUUUUCAUACACAUUUUUUCCUCAAUGUAUGUUUUAUUAAACUUUUGUGCAUUUCAUGCAAUACAUCCAAUCACACCUAGACCUCCUCUCCCAUCCUCACCCCCCCCAUUACUCUCCCCACCAGAUUUCAUGCACUCUUCCAUACAUGUCAAAGCUUAUCAAGCCAAGCCUGUGUACCCAGAUGUCCCUCAGUG